AUGAAUCUAGCUGUGGAGAACCAGGGUGCCAGUUUAGUUGUAUAUGAAGAUGUUCUCUACAUAAACAAACCAUGUGAUAGCUGGAACGGGAUUGACAAGCAAACUCUUCGACGAUGCAUCCAUGGAUACAGUCCUGCCCGCAGGGUUGCAUGGGGUAUCGGGCAUGGCGGUAGGCGUUUCCUCGGCUGUCCUCUAGAUGGAGAUGAAUGUGCAUGGACAUGUUGGGUUGAUCCUGAGAAUGCAUCUCCAAUGAAGAACUACCUGGCCAGCCUUCAUCUUGACAUGGAAAAUACAAUAGUCAAACUAGAAGAUGGCAAUGAAGAGAAAAGUAACCGAGAGAAGUAUUUCCUUAUAAAAAAUAAGCUGCUAAAGGAUCGACUGUUGUCCAUUAGUGUUGAGUCAAAGAAGAAAGACUACGUAAUACUGUUGUUGAUUUCAUUUCUUGUCAUAAUCAUUAGUGUUUACUAUCAGUAA
rnacentral:rRNA from 1 species